rnacentral:rRNA from 1 species
GAUGAACGCUGGCGGCGUGCUUAACACAUGCCAGUCGAACGAUGAAGCCCAGCUUGCUGGGUGGAUUAGUGGCGAACGGGUGAGUAACACGUGAGUAACCUGCCCUUAACUCUGGGAUAAGCCUGGGAAACUGGGUCUAAUACCGGAUAGGAGCGUCCACCGCAUGGUGGGUGUUGGAAAGAUUUAUCGGUUUUGGAUGGACUCGCGGCCUAUCAGCUUGUUGGUGAGGUAAUGGCUCACCAAGGCGACGACGGGUAGCCGGCCUGAGAGGGUGACCGGCCACACUGGGACUGAGACACGGCCCAGACUCCUACGGGAGGCAGCAGUGGGGAAUAUUACACAAUGGGCGCAAGCCUGAUGCAGCGACGCCGCGUGAGGGAUGACGGCCUUCGGGUUGUAAACCUCUUUCAGUAGGGAAGAAGCGAAAGUGACGGUACCUGCAGAAGAAGCACCGGCUAACUACGUG